UGAGGUCCUGGGUUGUUACAAAUGGUAUCAGAGCGGACCCGGCCCAUAACUUAUGUGAACUAGGGGACACUGCAGCACGGAUCCAUUGGGGUUGACCAUGGACCGAUCGUGGUGUUUGUGAUUAGACUUGAAUGGAUUUGAACCCUUAGCCUGACGAGGACGUCAGAGCUUGAACGGGGGGAGUAUGUGACAAUUGAUGAUUUAUAUAUAUUAUAUAAAAGGCUAGAAAAUAAGUGUGAGGCCACCAGCAAUAGCCUAUUAUGGAGGUAGGUAUGAUAGUUGGUGCCUAUCAUCAUCACCAUUGCCAUCACAUCAUUAUUUCAAUAGUUUUUGAAUGGAGGGUCAUCUAAGCAGGAAUGCAAGACUAUUGAACACUAUAGUACGUGGUUGUUCUCACAUGCUAACUUGGCAGGAUAUAGUUGAAAAUAAUUUUGAAUUUAUCUAAAUUUAUAAUAAGAAAUGCUUAAGGACAUCUGUCAUGUAACUGUUCAAUUAACCAACCCUAUGUGGCAAUUAUUCUUAGUAUUAGCUCCAAUCACACACAUGAUAGCAUGUUAACUUGACAAUAUGCAAUAAAAUAAGAUAUGC
rnacentral:lncRNA from 1 species